GAGGGAUGGCAGAGCGGUUGAACGCGGCAGUCUUGAAAACUGUUAACCGAUUAUUCGGUUCGUGGGUUCAAAUCCCACUCCCUCC
rnacentral:tRNA from 1 species